rnacentral:rRNA from 1 species
GACGAACGCCGGCGGCGUGCUUAACACAUGCGAGUCGAACGGAAAGGCCCUGCUUUUGUGGGGUGCUCGAGUGGCGAACGGGUGAGUAACACGUGAGUAACCUGCCCUUGACUUUGGGAUAACUUCAGGAAACUGGGGCUAAUACCGGAUAGGAGCUCCUGCUGCAUGGUGGGGGUUGGAAAGUUUCGGCGGUUGGGGAUGGACUCGCGGCUUAUCAGCUUGUUGGUGGGGUAGUGGCUUACCAAGGCUUUGACGGGUAGCCGGCCUGAGAGGGUGACCGGCCACAUUGGGACUGAGAUACGGCCCAGACUCCUACGGGAGGCAGCAGUGGGGAAUAUUGCACAAUGGGCGGAAGCCUGAUGCAGCAACGCCGCGUGCGGGAUGACGGCCUUCGGGUUGUAAACCGCUUUCGCCUGUGACGAAGCGUGAGUGACGGUAAUGGGUAAAGAAGCACCGGCUAACUACGUG